AGUCAAAAACCUGGCGGACCAGUGAAAAAUCAAGCCAACUGGUCCUGCUGGCCAGUUGAAAAAAAAGUUGAGGGCAACCCCUGUUUGCUCUGCAAAGCAGUUAACACGGACAGUUUUGUGAAAAGUUUUGUGACUGUUAUGAAUCUCCCUGUCAAAAUUCUUUUGUUUUAGGUGUUGUGAUCUUGCUCAUAAGUAUUGAUAUAUCGAUUACUGUUACAGGGCCUUAGCUCAAUUGCUAUGCGCCAAGCAGAGCAAUCACUCAGCGGAGAGCAUUGGGGUGUAUCUACGUAAAGUGAAGCAAGCUAUCUCCACAACGGCAGCUCGAUUCUCUGGAUUUAUGCAACACGAUGCGCAAGAGUUCCUCUGUCAGUGCCUGGAUCAACUCAAAGACGACACCGAAAGGGCCAACAAGAGGGCGCUAAACUCCCCCUUGGACGAGACCCCAGGGACGGAUGAUGAUAAAAUUAAACUGAGGUUUCGCUAUCCGCACGACUGCCCGAUUGUCAAGAACUUUGAAUUUGAAGUCAUGCACUCUACGAUCUCUCGCUGGACAUGCCCAGAAGGAGUCAUUCUAACCCGAUUGGGUCGAUCCAGACGGCGCUGGAGCAGUUCUUCAGAGAGGAGGGUUAUAGUAUGCCUGCGGAGAAUGUGACUGCAAGCAGGCUAUAGUCACGCAUAAGUUCACUAAGCUACCAAGGGUAAUUAUCAUUCAUCUUAAGCGCUACAAAUUUGACGCCUGACGCCUUCCAGUACUCCAAGCUCCGUCGCCGCAUCCUCAUACCCAGGUACUUGUCCGUCCACUACCACUGCACCAAGGAAACCCAGAGUCCAACCUCUCUCCCAAAGUCAUUAGUCAACGGGACGUCAUCUCCAAGGCCACAACAACUCAAUGCCGAGAGAACUCGAAGGUUGUCCCUCACAGCCCCGUCGACGAGGGAAUCUAAUUGGUCUGCAAGGAGCGAGUCGUUUAAGCCCUCGCGCUUCAGUUUUGCGCCCUCAAGGAAGAGGCUGAACUAUGACGACAACAGGAAUCCUUGAGAAGAUGACACUCUGAGAUGUGCAGGAAGAUGUGUGGGGAGGCAGCCCACCAGCAAGGCCUCACCUGAAAUGGCUGCUGAAGAGACACGCGUACAUAAAGUGCCAUAGAAGCUUUACUGAAAUUAGUGAAAUAUGCCAUCAUCCUGCAAUACACACAUGGUCUAAAAGAGAAAUGACAAGACAAGCACAUAAGAAAAUGAGAUGAUGGAAAACCUCUUUAGUUGUUUGUGUUCUGCUCAGAUGUUGCCUAGCGACAAGGGAUGCUCAGUACUUUGAUAACAUCUUCUCCACAUUGGGAGAGAUUGAAAGAGAACAGGUGAUGAGGAGGGUGACUCCAGGAAUGCGGCCCCAUUACAAUGUGAGCAUGAGGCGACCACGGACACAUGUUUAUGCCAGACUGCAACACUGUACUAAUGAAACUCAAUGCAUGCAUCAAGGACAUUCACCAAAGAGCCACUGCAAACAAAAUGAUGCUUAAUGCUGCAAAGCAUUGGUUCUUCAUUUUACAUCAAGAUUUUCACAACAGCCACUUCCAGUCAUUUCCAUCACGGUUGGUGAUGUGAAACCACUCAACGAAAGCCAGAAAUCUCUGUGCAGUCAUGGAUGAGCAUCUACAUGUAUCACCGAAGGCCCAUGUCUCUACCCUAUAUGCCGCUCUUAAAUUACUGUCAUCCAAAGAUGUUUUAAAUUUAGAAAAUAAUGAUCCACACAAAUACACCUGGAAAUUGUUUAGUUUUCCUUGGCCGUC